CUAACCAAGGAUUCCCCUAGUAACGGCGAGUGAAGAGGGAAGAGCCCAAGUUUGAAAGCUGGCAUUUGUAUUCAGAUGUCCGCAUUGUAAACUCAAGAAGUGUUUUCUGCACCGGAUCAAAUUCAAGUCCCUUGGAAUAGGGCAUCAUAGAGGGUGAAAGUCCCGUGCUUGAUUUGAAACCCCCGGGGCUUUGUGAUACACUUUCCAAGAGUCGAGUUGUUUGGGAAUGCAGCUCAAAAUGGGUGGUAAAUGCCAUCUAAGGCUAAAUAUUGAGGAGAGACCGAUAGUGAACAAGUACCGUGAGGGAAAGAUGAAAAGAACUUUGGAAAGAGAGUUAAACAGUACGUGAAAUUGCCGGAAGGGAAGGGUAGGAAGUCAGACAUGCCUUUGCAGAUUCAGCCUUGUGCUUUAUUGGACUUGGUGCAUUUUUGUAUUGGCUUGCUAGCAUCGGUUUGUAUUGACAGAUAUAGGCUUAGGGAAUGUGGCUUAGCUUUCGGGCAAAGUGUUAUAGCCCUUUGCUGAGUAUGACAAUAUAGACCGAGGAUUGCAGCGCACCCAUUUUAGGGCGGGCCUUUCGGGGCACCUUUGCGCUUAGGAUGCUGGCUUAAUGGCUUUCUGCCACCCGUCUUGAAACACGGACCAAGGAGUCUAACAUGUAUGCAAGUCUUUGGGUGGUAAACCCAUGGGCAAAAUGAAAGUGAAUUUUUAAAGGUGGGAUCCCUAUUGGGUGCACCAUCGGCCGACCUUGAACCUUUUAUGGGGACAGGUUUGAGCAAGAGCAUUUAUGUUGGGACCCGAAAGAUGGUGAACUAUGCCUGAAUAGGGUAAAGCCAGGGGAAACUCUGGUGGAGGCUCGUAGCGGUUCUGACGUGCAAAUCGAUCGUAGAAUUUGGGUAUAGGGGCGAAAGACUAAUCGAACCAUCUAGUAGCUGGUUCCUGCCGAAGUUUCCCUCAGGAUAGCAGAAACUUAAAUCAGAUUUACGUGGUAAAGCGAAUGAUUAGAGGCCUUGGGGAUGUAACAUCCUUAACCUAUUCUCAAACUUUAAAUGUGUAAGACGCCCUUGUUACUUAAGUGAACUUGGGCAUGCGAAUGAGAGU
rnacentral:rRNA from 1 species